UUCUCCACUCUCCAAAAAUUCACUUUUCUCUUCCUUUUCUUCUAGUGUAUACGGCUCAAAGAAGGGAGAAAAACAAUACCAAAAAGCAAUAUCUAAUAUAUAAUAAUAAUAAGGGUUGUACUAGAUUAAACAAGGGUUAAUUCAAGGUAGGAUUAAGGGUCACUUCAAGCUUGGAUUAAGGGAUAUUAGGAGCUCAUAAGCCACGAAAUUUUCUGCCCAUAUUCACCAUCAAAAUCGAAUUCAAGAAGGCUUGCUUGAAGGACUACACCACUAGCCGAAGUUCUCGCUUUUGAUCAGCCCCUUUUCAUACUCCAAUCAAGAAUGAAGUUGAUGAUCCUGGUGGUGAAGACA